CACACCCAGAAGAAGAGCCGGAAUCACCAAUUGAACUCGAUUGGAAAAUUGUUCUUAUGGGGUACGGGAGCGGCUUAGUGAUCGGAGUGGUCAUCGGAAAUGCAUUCAUCUCCUGGAAACAUGUUUGGUUUGAAGGAAAUGCAAGGAGAAGGCGACGGCCCAAUCGGAGGCAGCCUAGGAGGGGUAGGAACUCCUGGUCAGGCAAAUUUUUCAAGUUCUGCGGACAAUAAAAUUUACCGUUCAAAUGAGCUAGGUAUUUCCUUCUUUUUCUUGAAUGUACUAGUUUCUUCAUAGUAAUUUUGCUGUAAUUUAUGUCAAACCUUCACUUUCUUCGGUUAAUCUCUCAUCACACAUGUUUACCACCUC